rnacentral:rRNA from 1 species
CCCUUAGAUGUUCUGGGCCGCACACGCGCUACACUGAAGGAGGCAGCGUGUACUCCUGGAUCGAAAGAUUUGGGUAACCCGCGAAUCCCCUUCGUGCUAGGGAUUGAGGUUUGCAAUUAUCCUUCAUGAACGAGGAAUUCCCAGUAAGUGCAAGUCAUAAGCUUGCGCUGACUACGUCCCUGCCCUUUGUACACACCGCCCGUCGCUACUACCGAUUGAAUGAUUUAGUGAGGACUUCGGACUGGGACCGAUGCGGCUUUCGGGCUGCGUCGGUAUUCUGGAAAGAUGUCCAAACUGUAUCAUUUAGAGGAAGUAAAANUCGUANCA